UACGUAGGGUGCAAGCGUUGUCCGGAAUUAUUGGGCGUAAAGAGCUCGUAGGCGGCUUGUCGCGUCGACUGUGAAAACCUGGGGCUUAACUCCGGGCCUGCAGCCGAUACGGGCAAGCUAGAGUUCGGUAGGGGAGACUGGAAUUCCUGGUGUAGCGGUGAAAUGCGCAGAUAUCAGGAGGAAUACCUAUGGCGAAAGCAGGCUUCUGGGCUAUCACUGACGCUGAUCUGCGAAAGCUAGGGGAGCAAACAGG
rnacentral:rRNA from 1 species